rnacentral:rRNA from 1 species
CUUGACAUGCUAGGAACUCUGCAGAAAUGCAGAGGUGCCCGAAAGGGAACCUAGACACAGGUGCUGCAUGGCUGUCGUCAGCUCGUGUCGUGAGAUGUUGGGUUAAGUCCCGCAACGAGCGCAACCCUUGCCAUUAGUUGCUACAUUCAGUUGAGCACUCUAAUGGGACUGCCGGUGACAAACCGGAGGAAGGUGGGGAUGACGUCAAGUCCUCAUGGCCCUUAUGGGUAG